rnacentral:rRNA from 1 species
GGCGCAUCCGCUACGGUUUGCCGUGAUCACACAGGCCUCUUCUUGGGUUCAUCGGCUAUGGUAUUUACCGACAUUUCAGACCCGGCAACAUUGGAGGCACUCGCUUGCCGUGAAGCUCUAGCGCUUGCGCUAGACUUGUCCCUCGACAAAGUUGUUAUUGCAUGUGAUAAUAAAUCAGUGGUGGCGGAGAUAAAGAAUGGAACUGAAGGAAGGUAUAGUGCAAUCAUUAAGGAGAUUAAUGAUCGGGCAAGAGAACUCACAAGCUGUGAUUUCAUUUUUGAAAGUCGUACUAUGAAUGUUGAUGCAUACAAUUUAGCUAAAUUUUCUGCUUCGUUAGAUGUUGGUCGCCAUUUGUGGCUGGGUUUACCCCAUGACCAAUUUGUUAUUCCUAUAAACCGAGCUGCUACUUCGCAAUAA